rnacentral:rRNA from 1 species
CCUACGGGAGGCAGCAGUGGGGAAUAUUGGGCAAUGGGCGCAAGCCUGACCCAGCAACGCCGCGUGAAGGAAGAAGGCUUUCGGGUUGUAAACUUCUUUUAAGGGGGAAGAGCAGAAGACGGUACCCCUUGAAUAAGCCACGGCUAACUACGUGCCAGCAGCCGCGGUAAUACGUAGGUGGCAAGCGUUGUCCGGAUUUACUGGGUGUAAAGGGCGUGCAGCCGGAGAGACAAGUCAGAUGUGAAAUCCACGGGCUCAACCCGUGAACUGCAUUUGAAACUGUUUCCCUUGAGUGUCGGAGAGGUAAUCGGAAUUCCUUGUGUAGCGGUGAAAUGCGUAGAUAUAAGGAAGAACACCAGUGGCGAAGGCGGAUUACUGGACGAUAACUGACGGUGAGGCGCGAAAGUGUGGGGAGCAAACAGGAUUAGAUACCCCUGUAGUC